UACGAAGGGGGCUAGCGUUGCUCGGGAUUACUGGGCGUAAAGCGCACGUAGGCGGACUUUUAAGUCGGGGGUGAAAUCCUGGAGCUCAACUCCAGAACUGCCUUCGAAACUGAAGGGCUUGAGUUCGGGAGAGGUGAGUGGAACUGCGAGUGUAGAGGUGAAAUUCGUAGAUAUUCGCAAGAACACCAGUGGCGAAGGCGGCUCACUGGCCCGAUACUGACGCUGAGGUGCGAAAGCGUGGGGAGCAAACAGG
rnacentral:rRNA from 1 species